UGGGGAAUAUUGCACAAUGGGCGCAAGCCUGAUGCAGCCAUGCCGCGUGUAUGAAGAAGGCCUUCGGGUUGUAAAGUACUUUCAGCGGGGAGGAAGGGAGUAAAGUUAAUACCUUUGCUCAUUGACGUUACCCGCAGAAGAAGCACCGGCUAACUCCGUGCCAGCAGCCGCGGUAAUACGGAGGGUGCAAGCGUUAAUCGGAAUUACUGGGCGUAAAGCGCACGCAGGCGGUUUGUUAAGUCAGAUGUGAAAUCCCCGGGCUCAACCUGGGAACUGCAUCUGAUACUGGCAAGCAUGAGUCUCGUAGAGGGGGGUAGAGUUCCAGGUGUAGCGGUGAAAUGCGUAGAGAUCUGGAGGAAUACCGGUGGCGAAGGCGGCCCCCUGGACGAAGACUGACGCUCAGGUGCGAAAGCGUGGGGAGCAAACAGG
rnacentral:rRNA from 1 species